rnacentral:rRNA from 1 species
AUUGAACGCUGGCGGCAUGCCUAACACAUGCAAGUCGAACGAGUGGCGGACGGGUGAGUAAUGUAUGGGAAACUGCCCGAUGGAGGGGGAUAACUACUGGAAAGGGUGGCUAAUACCGCAUACCAUCGGAGCGGCCCAGAUGGGAUUAGCUAGUGGGUGGGGUAAAGGCUCACCAAGGCAACGAUCCCUAGCGGGUCUGAGAGGACGAUCAGCCACACUGGGACUGAGACACGGCCCAGACUCCUACGGGGGGCAGCAGUGGGGAAUAUUGGACAAUGGGGGCAACCCUGAUACAGCCAUCCCGCGUGUAUGAGGAAGGCCUUCGGGUUGUAAAGUACUUUUGGCGAGGAGGCGGUACCUGCAGAAGAAGCACCGGCUAACUACGUGCCAGCAGCCGCGGUAAUAC